AUUGAACGCUGGCGGCAGGCCUAACACAUGCAAGUCGAGCGAGCGGCGGACGGGUGAGUAAUGCCUGGGACUUGCCCAGUCGAGGGGGAUAACAGUUGGAAACGACUGCUAAUACCGCAUACGAUUGGAUUGCCCAGGUGGGAUAAGCUACUGGGUGAGGUAAUGGCUCACCAAGGCGACGAUACCUAGCUGGUCUGAGAGGAUGAUGCGCCAAUAUGGAACUGAGACACGGUCCAGACUCCGACGGGGGGAAGCAGCGGGGAAUAUUGCAAAAGGGGGGAAACCCGUAUGCGGCCAUGCCGCGUGUGGGAAGAAGGCCUUCGGGUUGUAAAGCACUUUCAGCGAGGAGGCGUUACUCGCAGAAGAAGCACCGGCUAACUCCGUGCCAGCAGCCGCGGUAAUAC
rnacentral:rRNA from 1 species